UUGGUGGAAAGAUUAGGAAGAAUGCUGAAGC
rnacentral:piRNA from 1 species